AAAUUGAAGAGUUUGAUCAUGGCUCAGAUUGAACGCUGGCGGCAGGCCUAACACAUGCAAGUCGAACGGUAACAGGAAGAAGCUUGCUUCUUUGCUGACGAGUGGCGGACGGGUGAGUAAUGUCUGGGAAACUGCCUGAUGGAGGGGGAUAACUACUGGAAACGGUAGCUAAUACCGCAUAACGUCGCAAGACCAAAGAGGGGGACCUUCGGGCCUCUUGCCAUCGGAUGUGCCCAGAUGGGAUUAGCUAGUUGGUGGGGUAACGGCUCACC
rnacentral:rRNA from 1 species